UAGGACCUGAGAGUGGAAGUCUCCCCACUGA
rnacentral:piRNA from 2 species